rnacentral:tRNA from 1 species
AUUCUUUUAGUAUAUUAGUAUAUCUGACUUCCAAUCAGAAGGACUUUAAUUAGAAAGAAUA